rfam:Chitinophaga niabensis strain DSM 24787 genome assembly, contig: Ga0070009_11
GGGGCCGACCGGUUUUGACAGCAUAGGUCUUUGAAAGUGUAAGCAUGUCGUGCGUUGGAUAAUUAGCACGUAAAUCUGAAUACCCAAACAUCAAAAGGCGAAUCUAACUACGCCAUGGCUGCCUAAUUAAAUUAGCGCACCCAUUAUGGCCGCUGUGAGUUGCUGUCUGCUGUGACUUCAGCCGCUGAAUCAAACCAAUAGCGGAAUAGGUACUCAUGGUUUCUGUGAGUGGGUACCGAAACUCAAACGGAUAAGGACGAGGUUGGUUUGUUUUGCCCCUGCCGAGUUCCGACAAACCAAUGCAAAAAUAAACAUGUAGAAAGCUUUCGGUGAAUAUGUUUGGACCCGGGUUCGACUCCCGGCGGUUCCACCA